AAAAUCCCAGAGAGAUGCAUUUGUAGCACUGCUAUGCCUUGCAAUGUUCAGGCUUCAAGCGAAGACCAUCAAGAUGAUUUUCCACUGACUCUUGCAAAUCAGUAUGACUCCCACAAAUUGCUGAUGACACAUGCCUUGUAAAAGAAAAAGCCAUCUCUUCUUGCUUUGGACGGGGUCAUUUGCUGCAUUUGCUGUGCAGCCUUCUGAUUGCAGAGAGAUGCACCAGGAGUCAGCAAGGUGCUGACCACGAGUCUCCUCACCCAGCACAGCUGCUCUACACAAGGCUCCCUGCAACACCUGCAGACUUGCAAAGGGAAAUGCAGUGUCUAAGUUACACCAGGAAUGUCACAGUGAGGUUGGGGAUGUGUGAAGGGCAGCGCAAGGAAAGCUUGUACCCAACCAACCUUCUGCUAGAGGAACGUCCCUUCUUCUAUCAGGUGCCCUCCUCGCUGUUUGCUAGGUGUGAAAAAUCCCACGUGUAUUUGCAGGGAUUGAGGAGUUGACUAGAUAGUGAGAACAAAGCCAUAUGCUGCAUGUCAUCAUUUAUAUCCUACACUUUCUAAAUCCCCCACCAAGAUCACAGUAUUUUUCUCACUUACGAGUUUUAUGGAAAGAAAAUAAAAGCCUAAUAGAAAGCAGAAGGAACUCCAUGUUUUCUGCGUCAGCAUCACCUGCUGGUUCCAAUGGGAUCUGCAAAGUGAUGGAAGGGCUUGUGAGGGACCGUGCAGGAGGUGCACAGUAACCCAUUUUGCAGGCUGCAGGGUUUUUAAUGGGAUGCGUAGGUGCUGCUCCAUAAUGGCUCAUCACCUGAAGACAUGAAUGAAGAAAACCAGGUCAGGGAGGACAGGAAUAAGGCAGAACUGUUAAGUCGUUUAAAUUUUACUGUCAUACUCCCAGAUUCACAGUGAUGAGGAGGCAUUAAAAGGCAUUCCUGUACAAAUCUUAACCCCCACCCACUGUGAUUGCAGGACCGAGCUGCUGCACUACUAGGUGAUAGUGGAGGCAACACCAAGACCAUUGUAUAACCUCAUCUAUCUUCUGUGGGAGCCUGAAGUCUGCAGGAAAGCACGAAUCCAAACCUCUAGAAUUAUAAUUGACCCUGAGGCCUGGCUUCACCACACACUCUCCAUACCAACAUCGGUUCUUCUGCCCAACCCGAUCCCAGACCAUCAGUGCAGGAACGUUGCAGCCCAGGUGGCACCAAUGAGUCCCAGUGCUGUGCUGGGUGCAGGUGGGGCACGUUGGGAAGAGGGGAUAAAAGGGCCAUGUGGGGGGUGGGGAGGGAAUGUGGUGCAGUGGGAAGUGUGGGAGCAGCUCAGCAUUAUGGCACUGCUUCUAGUGAUGGUUUUGCCAGGGACUGGAAUCUUCUAAAGGCAGAUAUUCAAGCCUCUAAAAAAUGGAUAGGAAAAUAAUUCCCACCACAAAUCCUUGAAAUCUCCAGUAAGCAUCUAUAACUUCUUCUUUCUAGAAAGUGGAACAGGAGAAUGCUUCAGGAGCUGCACUCAGGUGGGACAGGACUGUGGAAACAAGCUGCCCAACGGCAAAUUAGUGAGCAUCUGUUGCUAUUGAUCCAAAUAACAACAAGCUCUUGAGUGACGCUGCCUUGAGAAAAGAAAACUCUGAGGGAAGCAAACAGCAAAUGGCCACUGAAUAUCUCAGUGCUUGACUAUUUUGCAGUAAAUUUGCUGUCCUACAGUGCGGUGCAGUUCUUUGCUCUGAAGGGCUUUUGCCAUCUGAGCACAGAGUUGUGCUCUUCCCUAAGGGAUGAGAGGAUGAGGUGCUGGGAUGGGGCUUGGAGGAUCUGCGUGCAUCGUUGCUUCUGUCUUACUGGUGGCUGUGUAAAUAGCACAGCUGUUAUCUCCUUCUCCUAAAUCAGAGCCCUUUCUUCUCCUGGCACCCGGGCUGCGGGGGCCCACAGUACUGAGCAAUGGUCACAGGGUGCCUGUACACAGAGUGGGGGGCCAACAUCCAUGUCCUGGGGAGGGAAUGGCUGGAGGAAGGACGGUUUGUCUCCUGAGACUGGAGAGAUUUGCUGACUUCAAAGUUGAUGGGUUUGAGAUGGAAAAAGGAAUGAGACUGUAAAGAGGAAUAUAAUGUUACAGAGAAGAUGGCUAAUGGGCUCAUUCAGAACCACCUGAAAUGAUCACUCCCUGGGAAAUUGUGAAUAAUGGUGGCAAACAGUAAAAUAUCAGUGAAGGGGGUGACGUCAGGCACUCGCCUUCUCCUCUUAGAACUUGAGGGAUUUUGCUUUAAAUGAAUUCAUGAUAUGAGCGUGAUCGGUUUGAAUUACUUGUAAGCAGUGAGAAUCAGCUCACCACCGUGCAGGCUGUCCUGUAAAAUGCAGGUGGCUGCUGAUGUUAAGUUACACCCCUCGUUGAGGGCCCUGUAGUGAUGCCUGAGGGCUGUGGGACCCCCACUGUGGGCAGCUGUUGUCCCUCAGGGAGUGGCUUGGUGACCAAGACAUCCAAGGAACAUGGGAGGAAUUGAGCAGAACUGAAGCAGCUCUUCCUGUGCUCAGGUUUUGGGUGUGGAAUGGCUUUCUCUUCUCACACUGCGUGCUCCCAAGGGAUGGAGUGGGAGCAGAUGUAUUCCCUGGCGUAGUAACCACAUGGAUUUGGGUGCUGGAGAGCAAAUAGGAGGAGAAAGAUGAGAGGAAAAGUGGAGAGAUUUCUGUUGUAUUUAUGCUUGAGGUGGGUAGGAAUUACACUUAUUUUUCUCUCCUAUUGCUUUACAAGAGCAGUAAGUUGAUUCCAGUUUUACUGCUGAGGUGCACCCAGGGAUCAGCUGUGAGAUUUUUAUUGUAUGCUGUGCCCACUGUGGAUCAGUCCUUGCUUGCAUCCUCAGCUGUGGGCUGGGAUUUUGAGAUGCAGAGAGCAGAUUCUGGCACAUGUGUUGGGAGCAGAAGCACAGAGCUGGGAUGGGAGAGCUCUGCUGCAUCUGCUGUCUUCAUGCACGUGUCUGGGUGUACGUUCAUGGUGUGAUGUGCACGGGUUGGAUCCCUAUUGCGAGCUUCCCCCUGUGAAUCUCUUUCCUCAUGGAAAGAAAAGAGGAAGGGACGUGGUGUCCCAUUGGCCCCGUUCCCUUUGGUGGGCUUUAGGGAUUGUCCCAGUGCAGGUUGAAACGUGGAGGAGCCUUUUUCCUGCUGUCGGUUGUCCCCAGGCCCCUGCUUGUUCCUUCUGAACUUUUAUUUAUUUUUAAC